GGGGGCUGCCUUCGGAGGUUAAUUUGAGAUUUGAUUUCUUGCCUAAAAUAUUCCCAGAAGUGAAUUUAAUGAUAAAAUAGCAGACAAAUUGUACAAUGUAUACACUUUC